UGAGGAAUAUUGGUCAAUGGGCGGAAGCCUGAACCAGCCAUCCCGCGUGCAGGAAGACGGCCCUAUGGGUUGUAAACUGCUUUUCCAGGGGGAGAAACUUUCCGAUGAAUCGGGAUUUGACGGUACCCUGGGAAUAAGCAUCGGCUAACUCCGUGCCAGCAGCCGCGGUAAUACGGAGGAUGCGAGCGUUAUCCGGAUUUAUUGGGUUUAAAGGGUGCGUAGGCGGAUCGAUAAGUCAGUGGUGAAAACCUGCAGCUCAACUGUAGACUUGCCGUUGAUACUGUUGGUCUUGAGUAUGGUCAAGGUAGGCGGAAUGUGUAAUGUAGCGGUGAAAUGCUUAGAUAUUACACAGAACACCGAUUGCGAAGGCAGCUUACUGGACCAUCACUGACGCUGAUGCACGAAAGCGUGGGGAUCGAACA
rnacentral:rRNA from 1 species